GCUCAACUCUGAAUAUAACAGAAACAGCUGGGAAUCCAUAGCCAACAGGCAGGGCGAGAAAGUCCGUGGAUGGAAAAUUACUAAGAGGAGCUUGAUUAGGUAUGAAGAGUGGGGAAUUCUUGUUGAACUGGUUUGGCAGGAUUUUUGCUAGAUUGGGCUCAGCAGGCCAAAUUUCAGGCAUAGUUGAGAAGAGGGUUCAGAGGAGCCUGACUAAAGUUUGGUUGACGACGGAGUCCUUGUCACGGCAAAGAAUCAUCCUGCCCUUGUCUAUUCUUGGGUAAAACCCACCCCAGCCUUCCUCAUGGCUCCUUUUUGGUGCUGUGUUUCGGGCAGGAGCAGAAUCCACACCUUUGGAACCCUGUUCACUCCACCCAGGUAGAGGAGCGUCUCCCCAUAGCCACCACCGCAAAAGGCCCACGGGCAGUACUGUCAGCCUACCACCAAAGUUCACUGAAGGCCCAAGGACUCUUCAAUCAGCUUGUGGUGAAUGCUGCCAGGUCUGGGACUCACC